GCGGCCUAUCAGCUUGUUGGUGAGGUAAUGGCUCACCAAGGCGACGACGGGUAGCCGGCCUGAGAGGGCGACCGGCCACACUGGGACUGAGACACGGCCCAGACUCCUACGGGAGGCAGCAGUGGGGAAUAUUGGGCAAUGGAGGAAACUCUGACCCAGCGACGCCGCGUGCGGGAUGAAGGCCUUCGGGUUGUAAACCGCUUUCAGCAAGGAAGAAGCGAAAGUGACGGUACUUGCAGAAGAAGCACCGGCUAACUAUGUGCCAGCAGCCGCGGUAAUACAUAGGGUGCAAGCGUUGUCCGGAAUUAUUGGGCGUAAAGAGCUCGUAGGUGGUUCGUCACGUCGGUUGUGAAAAUCUGGGGCUUAACCCCAGACCUGCAUUCGAUACGGGCGAGCUAGAGUGUGGUAGGGGAGACUGGAAUUCCU
rnacentral:rRNA from 1 species